rnacentral:rRNA from 1 species
GACGAACGCUGGCGGCGUGCUUAACACAUGCAAGUCGUACGGUAAGGCCCUUUCGGGGGUACACGAGUGGCGAACGGGUGAGUAACACGUGAGUAACCUGCCCACAACUUUGGGAUAACGCUAGGAAACUGGUGCUAAUACUGGAUAUGUGCUCCUGCUGCAUGGUGGGGGUUGGAAAGCUCCGGCGGUUGUGGAUGGACUCGCGGCCUAUCAGCUUGUUGGUGGGGUAGUGGGCUACCAAGGCGGCGACGGGUAGCCGGCCUGAGAGGGUGACCGGCCACAUUGGGACUGAGAUACGGCCCAGACUCCUACGGGAGGCAGCAGUGGGGAAUAUUGCACCAUGGGCGCAAGCCUGAUGCAGCAACGCCGCGUGCGGGAUGACGGCCUUCGGGUUGGAAACCGCUUUCAGCAGGGACGAAGCUUUUUGUGACGGUACCUGCAGAAGAAGCACCGGCUAACUACGUG